rnacentral:misc_RNA from 1 species
GAUGAAGAACGCAGCAAAAUGCGAUAAGUAAUGUGAAUUGCAGAAUUCAGUGAAUCAUCGAAUCUUUGAACGCACAUUGCGCCCGCUGGUAUUCCGGCGGUCAUGCCUGUUCGAGCGUCAUUUCAACCCUCAAGCCCCCUGGUUUGGUGUUGGGGAUCGGCUCUGCCCUUCUGGGCGGUGCCGCCCCCGAAAUACAUUGGCGGUCUCGCUGCAGCCUCCAUUGCGUAGUAGCUAACACCUCGCAACUGGAACGCGGCGCGGCCAUGCCGUAAAACCCCAACUUCUGAAUGUUGACCUCGGAUCAGGUAGGAAUACCCGCUGAACUUAAGCAUAUCAAUAAGAGGAGGA